CAGUCGCCACGGUAACACCGAGGGUGCGAGCGUUAAUCGGAUUUACUGGGCGUAAAGCGUGCGUAGGCGGCUUCUUAAGUCGGAUGUGAAAUCCCUGAGCUUAACUUAGGAAUUGCAUUCGAUACUGGGAAGCUAGAGUAUGGGAGAGGAUGGUAGAAUUCCAGGUGUAGCGGUGAAAUGCGUAGAGAUCUGGAGGAAUACCGAUGGCGAAGGCAGCCAUCUGGCCUAAUACUGACGCUGAGGUACGAAAGCAUGGGGAGCAAACAGGAUUAGAUACCCCAGUAGUCCCUGUCUUUUAUAC
rnacentral:rRNA from 1 species